rnacentral:misc_RNA from 1 species
AUGCACUUAAUCAUGUCAGCACAAUGUUGAAAGUGUAGUAGUUGGGAAACUGCAUUUCCCUUUUCGUUUCUUAGUAUUUUCCUUUUUUCAAACACCACUUAAGGGAGUUGAGCCUCAAAUGGCUUUGUUAACACCACUUGGGCUGACUUAUGUCUCAAAUGGGUUGUUUACAUUGCUCAGGUGGACUUUGCCUUAGAUGGCUUUGUCUAUGCCACUUUGGGUGGACUUACACUUUAAAUGGGCUUCUAUGCCACUUGAGUGAUCUUAUGCCUUAUAUGACUUUGUCUAUGCCAAUUUGGGUAGACUUAUGCCUUAUAUGUGCUGUCUAUGCUACUUUAGCAAACUUGCAUCUUAGAUAGCUUUGUUUACGCCACUUUAAAUGGACUUAUGCCUUAGAUGACUUUGUUUAUAUAAGUAGACUUAUGUUUCACUACUUGGGCAAACUCACACCUUAGAUGGGUUGUCUACACCACUUGGGCAAACUUAUACUUUAAAUGGCU